ACGCUGAUCGACCGCUGUGGCUCUUGUCCGUGCUGCAGUCCUGUGGGAAGGGAUCAUCAGUGUCUGCCGUUCGUGCGCUCACUGCCGGUCGGCCCUCCGGUGAGUGGCUUCAAGGAACCGAAAGGGACGCACUCCCAGGGUGACUAACGCUCGUGCCCCAUGCUCAGUCGGCCGCUAUCCACGUCGUGGCUCGUGAUGCCACGUCGUCGCAGUGGUUGGUGCCCCUUCACGCUGUCCGCCUUUGCGUCCUGCUCGCAGCAUGGCCUUCGCUCUUCUCGUGCAGCUAUGCGCCAUGUGCAUGCUCGAACAUGCCACUGCAGCUCUUACAAUCUUGUAGGUCGCUGCAUCUCAUCUAUGAGCUCGGGAAUCGCUGACGUACCGACAAGCGCCGCGCCGUGGGAACGUCUCGUGCACCUCGUCACUGGCCUUCCUUCGGCCGAGCAGCGAAGCUUCCCGCUCACGGCAACGGGUGCCCCCACUUUGGCCAACGUAGCGGCUGUCCGUACUGCCCUUCCUGCAAUUCGUGAGCUAUGGUUGUCUGCCUACCACCCCGCCUUCGGCUGCGGUGUGGAACGCGAUCGUGACGGCGCCGUCGCCUCUGCCGUCGCCGCGUCUGACGUGGAUGCACAGCGGCAGCAGCACCGGCUUCUCCCAGAAGAAGCAGAGGAGCUGCCGCUGUUUGUGCAAGCGCUUGGCCACCUCGCCGCUGCCCUCCACGAGUCGAUCGGAGAGACGACUGAGGCAGCAGCAGCAGCAGCAGCGGUGGCGGCCGACGACGCCGACGCUGAUACCCGCCUUCUGAAGAUGCACGAGUGGCUCGUGGAGCUGCAGGCGCUCUUGCUCUUUAUCGGGCAGCACCACCUGCGCUUCCUGAUUCCAGCGACCUUUUCGCCCAAGCUGUCAUCCCUGGCUGUCUCACCCGUGCCGGAGACGCACACAGUCGAUGGAAACGGUAGUGCGAGCUACGGCAGCGAGCUAAGCAAGCCGGGGACAGCAAAACGGCGGGAGACGCAGGUCAGUGACGCCUCAUCACUGCGGCAGCUUGCGAAUGAGGUGAUUGCAAACCACACGAGUGCACCUCCGGCGGUUGUCAAAGGCAGCGUCCCCGGCGCUGCCUCCCUUCGCCGCCUGUUUCGUCACGAGUGCGAGCAUGUGCAAGACAUGGCGCCGCCGCUGCCGGUAGAGGAGCUUCUCCGCGUUGUGGUGCUGGUCGAGGCCGCGCGAACGAUCCUUGACGUGACGCAUCCUCCGCCGCUGGCGUCAGGAGUGCGCGCGGAGGUGUACGGCGUGCUCUUGUCCGUCGUCGGUUCGAGUGAGCAGCUGUCGUCUACGACGCUCGCGUCGCUCGCCACAUGUCUGGCGCGAUGUGUCGAUAGCUAUGCGAUGCGCAAGCAGCUUUCAGCCGUUGCAUGUGCGCCACAGAAAUCGGGCGCGGUGCCGGGGGACUACGACGACGGUGGUGGCGUGCAGGCGCGCGGAGAGCGUUUUGCUGGUGUCGGCAGCGCAGCACUUUCUGCAUUUUUGCGACGUGUCUCACGCAACAUCGCCGCGUGUUCUGCAGGCACCUCUCUCACUAUAUCGCCUUCACCGAUUGAGCAGCAUGAGGCUGCGCAGCUCAAUCGCCUCUGUGGCGGCCUCGACACUCGCCUGCGCCCUACCAGCGUCCUACACCACCUUCGCGUACUCGCGAACGUGAUGCAGCGCCGUCUCGCCAAAACGCUCUAUGACGCGGAGGCCGGGCAUGGCGCUCACCAGCUACAGCAGGAGGCAGGGAAGUGCGGCGACGACGGCGCGGACGUCCCUGCCAGCAGCACCGGCGCCGCUCGCGUGGCAAAGGAAGCGAGGAUAGAGGCCGGCAUGCUGGGCAUACUCACGCUGGAGGAACUCAAAGCACGCGCAGGGACGACGUUGAGUGACACUAGGUUGCCAACGGCGACCCAGCCGCGGCGGAAGCGUCGCACUGUGGCAGAGAUUGGGGCUGCUGCUGAGAGGAAUCGGGUGGGUGCGGGCAACUUCUCAGCGCACGGUAACGCUGACGCUCCCUCUUCUCACGUGCCACACGGAAGCGCUGCUCCACCUUCAUCCACGCCCUGCGACUCCUGUCAGCACCCCCACGUCUGCCACGCAGACUGCAGCGCCACAAGCGACACGGCUCGAGUGUCCUUCACUGACCUCGCGGAGGUGUGUAGCGCCAUGGCAGCCAUCGGCUUUCGCGGCGACGACACUGCUGCAGAGGAGCCGAUGUGGCGGCACGCGGUCGAGUUCGCCUGUGCGGAGAUCGUCGCGACGGCUGAUGCCAGGGACGCAGCGGCUGCGGUGGCUCGUGCCGACAACGGGGAUGCUGCUGGCGUCGCAGCAGAUGGAGAGGCGGUGAUUCGUCAGACUUUGCUGGACGCGCGCGAUUUGUGCUUUGCACUCGAUCGGGUCGACUACACGCACGGCUACGAUCGCGUCAUGGCGACGCUGGUGCGCUGCGGCUUCCUGCGCGAGCCGAUUCCUGCGCCCUCGGCUGUUCGGCGGUCCAUGAAGGACAUCCCGUCCUCCUUCUAAGCGGACAGGGUAUUCAGGAGGGUGGCAGGCCGGCGCGUAUCACUGGCCGAGCGAGUGGCCGCUGGCGACAGCGUUGAAUCCCUACCCUCUUGCCUCUCCGCACAUUCCCGUGCUCCAUGGUCGGCCCUUCCCCUCUGCCCCUCUUUCACUUGUGUGUGCCCCUGCUGCUGGUGCGGCUUCUGGCAACGAUGCCGCUGUUUCUCAGCGCAUUCCUUUGUGGGCAACCCCGUCGCCGUCUUUGCUGUCGUGCUCUACGGACGUGGAAUGCCCCUUUUCUCCCUCACCGCAACAGCGGAGAGCUGCGGAGAGGCCCGCCACUUCGCUCCUUCAGAUGCACACUCAGUCGUGGUAAAGCGUUCGCGCCCUCCCCCACCGCCUUCCCAUUCAACUAGCCGCCGCUGGCCAAGCCAGUGCGCCGCCGCGCUGCAUCGUUGUGCUGCGCUACUUGAAGGGUGGGGUCAGCAGUGCAGCAGGAGCGCCCCACCUACCCACUCAUCCCACGCAUAAGCCAGAAGCCAGCUUCAUCGUCGGCCUUCAUCCCACUCCCCCUUGGGCCCUCCCUUUAUGAGUCUCAAUGCGUGUUUGUGCCUGUGCGUGUCUCUCCCCUCCUCAUCUGCCUCUUUCCUGCUGAGCAUCAG
rnacentral:misc_RNA from 1 species